rnacentral:rRNA from 1 species
CGCGAAGAACCUUACCCAGGCUUGACAUCCUUGGAAGCACUGUGAAAGCAGAGUGUGCCUUCGGGAACCAAGUGACAGGUGUUGCAUGGCCGUCGUCAGCUCGUGUCGUGAGAUGUUUGGUUAAGUCCAUCAACGAGCGCAACCCUUGUGAUUAGUUGAAUUUUUCUAAUCAGACUGCCCCGGUAACGGGGAGGAAGGGGGGGAUGAUGUCAGGUCAGUAUUACCCUUACGCCUGGGGCUACAAACACGCUACAAUGGCCGGUACAAAGGGCUGCCAAGUCGCGAGACGGAGCAAAUCCCAUCAAAGCCGGUCUCAGUUCGGAUAGCAGGCUGAAACUCGCCUGCUUGAAGCUGGAAUCGCUAGUAACGGUAGGUCAGCACACUACCGUGAAUACGUUCCCGGGUCUUGUACACACCG